rnacentral:rRNA from 1 species
UACGAAGGAUCCAAGCGUUGUCCGGAUUUACUGGGUUUAAAGGGUGCGUAGGCGGACUUAUAAGUCAGUGGUGAAAGCCUUCAGCUUAACUGAAGAACUGCCAUUGAAACUGUAAGUCUCGAGUUCGGUUGAGGUCAUUGGAAUGUAACAUGUAGCGGUGAAAUGCAUAGAUAUGUUACAGAACACCGAUUGCGAAGGCAGAUGACUAAACCGAAACUGACGCUGAGGCACGAAAGCGUGGGGAGCAAACAGG